UCUAAGCUUAAACUAUUGAAUAUGUAAUGGCAUUCCAUACAUAUGUUCCAAUAAUUCAUUGGAGUCAGCAUCGAACAGUAGUGACAGACAGCCAAAAUGGCCAAAAAUAUUGCUCAUUUAAGACAGCUUUAUUCCCAUAGUACGGUCAAGGAAUUCAAUUUCGUACCUUGUCACUGUACGUCAAAGAAAUUCAUAUAAAUACCUACGGAAGGUGGAGGUAAGGAAAUAAAUCUCCAUGUACCAAAAAGUGCCAUCAAAAAACCUUAAAUAGGUGGCGCUACAAUACCUAGAAUACUUGAACAAAAAAAUCAAAUCAUAGACAGCCGCUGUAGACAGCGCACUUCACUCCGUCAAUAGCGCCUAGGUUCUUAGCUACUCUAGCGCUACUCUGGAGAGAUUUGGAACUAUUAUUUAUAGCUGACAGCUGGACACUUUUGCAACAGUUCUACCAUAA